CUUAAAAAUUAUGUAUAAAUUGUAGUAAAAAAAAAUUUGUGAGUCAUUUUUGUAAAUAUUCGUAUCGAAACCAUAGACCAAUGAAAGCAGAUAAAUUUAUCAAUUAACUGAAAAAAUAUGUACGUUAAGAAACUUACUCAAUACCAACUGGACUUUUAUCUUAUUAAUGGGAUAUAAUGUUGGGUGAUUGGGAUCAAGAGGAACUCAGAAGAAUUAGUAAUUAGAAUAAAUUUUAAGUUUGAAAACACCAAGUUCAGGUGAUUACCAUAUUUAAUAGAAAUGAAAAUGUGCAGAUACAAGUUUAAAGAAGAGAAAGUAUCAAAAACUACAUUAAAACAAGAAGUUCUUAUACAACCAUAAAUGAAUCCAAUGUUGUCAUUAUGAAAUUUUAAAUUUGGCAUAAUGAUCGUAUUAAAUGCACAUAAAUGCAAAAAUAAGUACUUUAUGUAAUUCGUAUAAGUUAAAUACACACUAAUAUCACUAAAAAUAUAACAUGCACAUAGUAUCAACUUUAUUUUCCCAUAAUCACCGUAACAGAAACGUAAAACUGUUUUAUAUUACCAAACAAUUUAAUAUAAUAUAUUGAUCUGACAAUUAUUAAAUUUACUGUUGUAAACGUUUCGAUACGUAAAGGUUGAAGAUACACCGGUGUAUAAUUCAAUUUCAUAAACUAUCAUUUUAAGAUUUAGUGACUGAUUAUUAAUAAAC